ACGGAUGACGGCGAUUACAACGUCAAGCUGCGCAACCUCAUCCGCUUCCUCGACGACGGUGACAAGACGAAAAUCACGUUGCGUUUCCGUGGCCGCGAAAUGGCCCACCAGGAAAUCGGUAUGCGCAUGCUGGAACGCCUGCGCACAGAUCUGGACGAAGUCGGUCAGGUCGAGCAAAUGCCGAAGAUGGAAGGGCGCCAGAUGAUCAUGGUGCUCGCUCCGAAGAAAAAGAAGUAAGCAGCCCGCGCGGGUUGUCUGCGCAAGCUGUGUGGCAGCGCGCCGCGAGGCGCGCGCCGUCGUGUUGAAAAGAUUGAGUUGUUGU
rnacentral:misc_RNA from 1 species